rnacentral:rRNA from 1 species
UACGUAGGGGGCUAGCGUUGCCCGGAUUUAUUGGGCGUAAAGAGCGUGUAGGCGGCCAGGUAGGUCUGCUGUGAAAACUCGAGGCUCAACCUCGAGACGUCGGCGGAAACCAUCUGGCUAGAGUCCGGAAGAGGAGAGUGGAAUUCCUGGUGUAGCGGUGAAAUGCGCAGAUAUCAGGAAGAACACCGAUGGCGAAGGCAGGUCUCUGGGCAUUAACUGACGCUGAGGAGCGAAAGCAUGGGGAGCGAACAGG